rnacentral:rRNA from 1 species
GCAGUGGGGAAUCUUAGACAAUGGGCGCAAGCCUGAUCUAGCCAUGCCGCGUGAGUGACGAAGGCCUUAGGGUCGUAAAGCUCUUUCGCCUGUGAUGAUAAUGACAGUAGCAGGUAAAGAAACCCCGGCUAACUCCGUGCCAGCAGCCGCGGUAAUACGGAGGGGGUUAGCGUUGUUCGGAAUUACUGGGCGUAAAGCGCACGUAGGCGGAUUGGAAAGUUGGGGGUGAAAUCCCAGGGCUCAACCCUGGAACUGCCUCCAAAACUACCAGUCUAGAGUUCGAGAGAGGUGAGUGGAAUUCCGAGUGUAGAGGUGAAAUUCKUAGAUAUUCGGAGGAACACCAGUGGCGAAGGCGGCUCACUGGCUCGAUACUGACGCUGAGGUGCGAAAGUGUGGGGAGCAAACAGGAUUAGAUACCCUGGUAGUCCACACCGUAAACGAUGAAUGCCAGUCGUCGGCAAGCAUGCUUGUCGGUGACACA